rnacentral:rRNA from 1 species
CGACCGGCGCACGGGUGAGUAACACGUAUGCAACCUGCCUGCCACAGCCGGAUAAUCGGGAGAAAUUCCGUCUAAUACGGCAUAAUGCAUCGACGGGACAUCCUGUUGGUGCCAAAGGUUAAUUCCGGUGGCGGAUGGGCAUGCGUCGCAUUAGUUAGUUGGCGGUGUAACGGACCACCAAGACGACGAUGCGUAGGGGUUCUGAGGGGAAGGUCCCCCACAUUGGAACUGAGACACGGUCCAAACUCCUACGGAAGGCAGCAG